CUUUACAUUCCUUUCUCAACAUCACUAGUCAUCAAAUACAAAAGAUGAACAUAGGGUACUCUACCAACAAAAUGUAAACCCAACUUUGGUGGCCUCUGACUAAGGCGCGAUACCUUUACCUCGGUCGCUCGCCGGCUCGCUCGGUCCCGGCUCUGUGGAAAUAGUGGGGUGAGAACUACAACAAAGUUCCUAGUGGGUUCGGCCUCAACAUCACCGACUUUCCCACUAGGACUAACUCAGGCAUAAUAGAAAGAAUAAGCUGCAUAUAGUAACCAAUCUAUACAUGAUGCUAAUAUGCCUGAACAAUAA
rnacentral:lncRNA from 1 species